AUUGAACGCUGGCGGCAGGCCUAACACAUGCAAGUCGAACGGUAGCACAGAGAGCUUGCUCUCGGGUGACGAGUGGCGGACGGGUGAGUAACGUCUGGGAAACUGCCCGAUGGAGGGGGAUAACUACUGGAAACGGUAGCUAAUACCGCAUAACGUCGCAAGACCAAAGUGGGGGACCUUCGGGCCUCACACCAUCGGAUGUGCCCAGAUGGGAUUAGCUAGUAGGUGGGGUAAUGGCUCACCUAGGCGAGGAUCCCUAGCUGGUCUGAGAGGAUGACCAGCCACAAUGGAACUGGGACACGGUCCAGACGACUACGGGAGGCAGAAGUGGGGAAUAUUGCACCAUGGGCGAAAGCCUGAUGCAGCCAUGCCGCGUGUAUGAAGAAGGCCUUCGGGUUGUAAAGUACUUUCAGCGGGGAGGAAGGCGGUGAAGUUAAUAACUUCACCGAUUGACGUUACCCGCAGAAGAAGCACCGGCUAACUCCGUGCCAGCAGCCGCCGUAA
rnacentral:rRNA from 1 species